rnacentral:rRNA from 1 species
UUAGCUGAGCAUUGGACAGAUUCGUCUUCUGAUGCUCUUCACCGAGUGUCAGAAGUGGUCUGUACGUUUACUUUGAAAAAAUUAGAGUGCUUAAAGCAGGCAUCUCGCCCGAAUAAUCUUGCAUGGAAUAAUGGAAUAGGACUUCGGUUCUAUUUUGUUGGUCUCCGGAAUCUGAAGUAA